rnacentral:rRNA from 1 species
UACGUAGGUGGCAAGCGUUGUCCGGAAUUAUUGGGCGUAAAGCGCGCGCAGGCGGUCCUUUAAGUCUGAUGUGAAAGCCCACGGCUCAACCGUGGAGGGUCAUUGGAAACUGGAGGACUUGAGUACAGAAGAGGAAAGCGGAAUUCCACGUGUAGCGGUGAAAUGCGUAGAGAUGUGGAGGAACACCAGUGGCGAAGGCGGCUUUCUGGUCUGUAACUGACGCUGAGGAGCGAAAGUGUGGGGAGCGAACAGG